rnacentral:rRNA from 1 species
UACGGGGGGGGCAAGCGUUAAUCGGAAUUACUGGGCGUAAAGCGUGCGCAGGCGGUGAUGUAAGACAGGUGUGAAAUCCCCGGGCUUAACCUGGGAACUGCAUUUGUGACUGCAUCGCUGGAGUGCGGCAGAGGGGGAUGGAAUUCCGCGUGUAGCAGUGAAAUGCGUAGAUAUGCGGAGGAACACCGAUGGCGAAGGCAAUCCCCUGGGCCUGCACUGACGCUCAUGCACGAAAGCGUGGGGAGCAAACAGG